rnacentral:rRNA from 1 species
UACGUAGGUGGCGAGCGUUGUCCGGAUUUACUGGGCGUAAAGAGCGCGCAGGCGGCCAAGUCAGUCGAAUGUGGAAGCCCCCGGCUCAACUGGGGAAAGUCAUCCGAUACUGCUUGGCUCGAAGAUGGGAGAGGGAAGCGGAAUUUCAGGUGUAGUGGUGAAAUGCGUAGAUAUCUGAAGGAACACCAGUGGCGAAGGCGGCUUUCUGGCCCAUUCUUGACGCUGAGGCGCGAAAGCUAGGGGAGCGAACGGG